rnacentral:rRNA from 1 species
AAAUUGAAGAGUUUGAUCAUGGCUCAGAUUGAACGCUGGCGGCAGGCCUAACACAUGCAAGUCGAACGGUAACAGGAAGCAGCUUGCUGCUUCGCUGACGAGUGGCGGACGGGUGAGUAAUGUCUGGGAAACUGCCUGAUGGAGGGGGAUAACUACUGGAAACGGUAGCUAAUACCGCAUAACGUCGCAAGACCAAAGAGGGGGAUCUUCGG